UCUUCAAUAUCCACAACACUCUCUGGCAUCUCGGAAAAGCUCGAUAAAUACCUCUUGAAUAAGAUUGUCGUACCGGGCCGAAGACGGUUGAGUUGGCCCUCGAAGGCUCUCCUUGAACUGGGAUUCUAUCAGAAGUUCUUCUCCACUAGGAGGGGUCAAGGUGUAAAUGAACCUCUUCUGAGUGGCCCUCACCUCUCCUUACAUCUGAAGUCAGGCUGCAAAUUGACUUGCCCAGAACAUGCUGAG
rnacentral:lncRNA from 1 species